rnacentral:lncRNA from 1 species
UUUUUUUCUAUUUUUAGUAGCGAUGGGAUUUCACCAUGUCGGCCAGGCUGGUCUCAAACUCCUGAACUCAGAUGAUACACCCGCCUCGGCCUCCCAAAGUGCUGGGAUUACAGGCGUGAGCCACCACCCCCGACCAAUUUGCUUGAAGAGACAGGAUCUCACUAUGUUGUCCAGGAUGGUCUCAAACUCCUGGGCUCAAAGGAUCCUCCCACCUCAGCCUCCCUAAUAACUGGGAUUACAAGUGUGAGCCACUGUGCCUGGCAAAAGUGAGUUUGAAAUGUGUGGAGUCAGAAGCUAUCUGUGGGGCAUCUUUUCAAAGCUUAUAGCUCAUAUAUGAAAGAAGCUUAAUUGAGGGUUUCCCAAUCUUGAUAAUCAUCCUCAAAAUUCACAUAAUUUUACCAAAUAACAAGUUGUGAAGCUGAAAAACUUUUGAGAAGUAUUAACAACAAAUGGUUUACCACUUUAAGGGAAAGACCAAAAUGUCUUUCUAGUCUCUUAAUAAAAAGCAAAUACCAAGCCAUUAUCAUAUAAGGAGGUAAUCAAAAUAUAUAUGGCCAAAUAAUGUAGGAAAAGGUAUUGUAGAGGUAUGUCAGAAAGUUUUAUUAACUUUAAUUAAAUAUUAAUUAUUUUUUCUGGAUUUUGUGAUGCUUAUUUCUUAGCUUUUAUUUGUAAUUCUUUGUCUUCUCAUUUUGAAUAAAUUUUCAUGUUUGUGCUAGCUUUGUAUUCAUGAUUUCACAGUCUUUUACUUUAAAAAGGCACCUCCAAAUUGUAAGUCUCAAAAUCUAUAAAAUCUGAAUCUGCCCAUUUCAUGGCCACGCAGUCUAAAGCAACGGUACAGUCCCUCUGCUGUCGCUGAAUUUCCAUUCUCUCCUAGAAGUUCCCACUGCCUGACUUUUCCCCUUAUGAAGAGAUGUAGCUGAUGUUGUUGAGACUCUGCGCAUGACCCAUAACCAGCCCGUGUGCCCCACUCCUGGGCACGCAGCAGCUAACACCUUACACCCAUGGCCUUCUUCUAAGAAACGCUCUUGCCUAAGGAGCCUCUUUACCUGAGAGGCUACUACAACACCCUGGGGUGGCCAAUGACUGACAGAGACGGGUACAAAAGCUCCCCACUGUUGCUUUCAAGGACAACUCUGAAGGUGUGAUUUGCACUUCAGGGCCCCCAGGGAUCAGGCCCAGGUUAGAUUUUUCCACAGCACCCCUCUGCUUGGCUUCUUCCCCUUCCCCAUCCUGAUUUCUUCAUCCUUUACAGGUUUUCCUGAGGAGAACAUCCUCAAUAAAUCACAUGCACCCAAAUCCCCAUCUCAGUCCCUGACAGUGUGUUUAUCUUCUUACUGUCUGUCCCCACUUCUCAAGAGGAUAUAAACUAAGAGAGCAGUGACUUGACCCAGCUCCCUCAUUGCUGUAUUCCUAUUGCCUGGAGCUUGGCGUGAAGUAACUACACCAUGUAAUGAGAUGAAUAAACGUUGAAUGAGGAUAUGAAUUCCAGUCACUUUGCACAUCUUUCCUCUAAAUCUCGUGACAACCAAGAGGGAGAUAUUGCUUCUUUUCAUAUUACAAGGUAACACCCCUAGGCAGUACUCUGGCUGCUGCUGAGCCCUGUUGUCCUCUGUUGGCACCAUCACCUGACCUCCAGGGAAGGGGUCCAGCAUUUCCCUGCAUGGUCCUGACAAAGAUGUGGAUGUGGACCCCUCCCUGAUCCAAUGCAGGACAGACUGUACUGAUGAUGAAAGGACACGUGGCACAGAGCAUGAUUCAGACGCACUGCCGAGUCAGGACCCAACCCGAGACCCUUUCCUUGGCACGGUCCCAGGUUCUCUUACAGGUAAUCGCCCAGGGACAAGGAAAGCCACCCUCCACCAACAGAAAUGCUUCCGGCAAUUGCAUGACCCUGAGACUGCCAAGCAUUGGCCAGAUCUAGAGCAAAGAAAAUAUUCCUCCUACCACUACCAGAUAAGCUCCUUCCAGAGUCUCUGUUCCCUACUCUCAAACUGACCUCUUCCCAAUGACAAGGGCUCAUUCCCUUCAGCAGACACCCCCAUCAUCAUGGGACCAUUGGAUAUUGGAUAUAUGAAGUUAUUAGGAUAACCUCAUAAUAUCUGGCAGUAUAUUUCCAGAGUUUAUGCUAUUCGCUCUUAAGUAACUCUCUCUACCCCAACAAGUAAUCUGUGAGUAGCUACCCCAAGUUCUGGGCAGAGUUUUUCAGUUUCUUCUCAGAAAAGUCUUAUAAAAUUUUGUAGUGUGCUUUCAUCUGUGACCAUCUUCUUACAGAAGAGUAAACCAAAAUGCAUGCAUUGAAUAUUUUAUAGCUUGGGUAUGAGAAUAAGAUGAGCCCACAUGAGACAAUUACCAGUACAAAAUUAAACUGUAAAUAAGACAGGGAGUUAGAAUCUACCUAGAAGGCUAUAGUGCUUUUGUUGGAGCUUCCAAAAGGAGAGGGUGAGAUCAGCUCUGGUUAGCUCGAGUUUGUGGGAAGUCACAGACAUGAUGCAUUUCCUUUUGGCACUAGUUUGUUUGGCAGGGACACGUCACCUAAGGUGAUAAGGAUGAGCUAAAGGGGCUGGCUCUCCACCAACCACUGCAAGGGAUGGAAGUGGAGGAGCUGCUUGGCAUCUCCCUGUUGUUCCAUUAUCUCUUCCUCAACAUCCGAUUCUCCUUCCGGUCAUCCUCCUUCCUAUCCUUCCCUCUUUCUCCUCCACUUUCCAUUCAUCUGACCUCUCUUUUCUUCCCUUUUCCUUUUGAAUUUAAGGUUUGGUCAGUUUGAGACAUACACUCUACUUGUGAGGCACAGCAAUUUGUGGAGGAGAAAGGGCCCCUGAGUGAAACAGACCUGGGUACCAACUCAGAUUUGUGCCUUACAGGCAAGUUAUAUAACCUCUCAUAGCUCUGUGCCAUCCAUAGAAGUGAGGACACAAAGCUUUCUCAAGUUAUUUGAAGGAGUAAACAAGAUGAUUUAUGUAAAGUGCCUGGCACAUAGAUAGCUCUCAGUAGAUGUUUAUUUUUCCUUACUUCCUUCCUCCUUAUUUAUUUUUUAGUGCUAUGUGCAUAUUAAAUAGUAGUCAUUAAAUGGAUGCUUAUUAAAUGAGUAUUUGGAGUUCAAUUAGUAAACUGUCAAAUACUUAGAAUUAUUAAGAUUGGGAGGGAUUUAAUAAUUAUUAUUAUAAUACCUUGUGCUAGGCACUGGGAUUAGAGAAGUCCUUGUCGUAUAAUAUCUGACACGACCCUCCCCAAAUGCAUAAGGUAGGCAUUAUUUUUAUUACCCAAGAUGCAGUCUUUAUUACUCAGGGUCCACAUUUCAUUUUACAAAUUAAGAAGCUGAGGCUUAGAGGGGCCAAGUAAUUUACAUGAGGUCACAGAAUGGAAUCUUGACACCAGAACCAAACCCUUCAACUGCUAGGUUAGACUGCAGAGUCAUUGAAUAUUUUUGAUCCCCUGCAGCCCAUAAGGAAGGUAGAGCCCAGCAAUUGGAGCAUCAUUUGUUUCCUGACUGCAAAGUGAAUCAUCCUUCUUAAAGAUAGUAUAAGUAAUGUGCAGUUACGCAAAAUUGAAAGAUUUGAGACAGAGCCAUAUUGUUCUCACAGGAAAGGAUUAAGGGGUGGGGGGAUGUGGAAAAUUAGGAGCAUGGGAGGAAAAUGGAUUAAGUGACAUGUUCUAGGGCAGCCCAGAGCUGGUGGAUAACAGAAAGUUCUAAUGGGGAAUCUUACUAGGUUGUUUGCAGUUUAAGAUGAGUUAAAUCAAGUUUAGCCCAAAGCUGCCUCCUUACAUAUAUUAAGUUCAGCCUAAGGGUAUCUCUGUACACGUGAACUAUAACAAGUGGAAGUAGAAAUAGACCAUAGCCUACAUUUGUGCCAAUCAUCAAGGUUUGGCCAAUCAAAUGUAGCCAAUUGUUUGAACCGUAUUUAAAUAAGGCAAACACCGAAUUGUAACCAAUCCAGCUGUUUCUGUACCUCACUUCUUUUUUCUGUAUGUCACUUUCCUUUUCUCUCCAUAAAUCUUCUUCCCCCAUGUGGCUCUGCUGGAGUCUCUGAGCCUAUUCUGGCUCAGGAGGCUGCCCAAUUCAGGAAUCGUUCAUUGCUCAGUUAAACUAUUUUAAAUUUAAUUCAGCUGAAGUUUUUCUUUUAUCAGAUGGUGUCAGAAGUGGGAUCCGAAGUAGAGCUUCUAACAUCCCCUAGGAGCACUGAGUGACCAAGUGAGGAACUCUCUGGACUGAUUGUGUCCAUUGAUCUCUUGGAGCAGCUGGGGAUUGUGGUAAGUUCUCUCUCAGAUUCCAAAGCUCCACGGAUUUGUGUUUUUAGCUCUCCGAGUUUCUUUGAGCAAGUUUCUGAUCCAAACUGGAUUUGGAAGUUGUGAUGAGAAACUGGACUGAGUCCAGUAAUUAGCUGGUUUGGAUCCAGCUAGAGGCUUCUUACAUCUGACUGGGUCAGAAGGAAACCAGUAGUAAAUGGCAAUAUUGCAGGGGGUGUAAAAUUUGGCUUUUGGAAAUUCACAGGAAUUUUUGUGUUCUACCCCUUUGGUUCAUUUUUCUUGUGCACUUAGGUAGGAAAAAAAAUCAAUCACUGACUAAGUUGAUCAAGGGAACCUGAAAGCAAAGCCAAUAUUUGAGGUAAAAAUGAGAUCCUUAAUUUCUGAAGAAUUGAGUUCCUUCUGGCUUAUACACGCACAAGUGUUAGGCCUUAUAAGCAGCGAAGUCUUAAAGAAAUGGCAAAAUCUUACUAAAGAUAACUUACAGUGGAACGUUCCAAAUGAACAACACUGCACUGAAGUGUGUUAGAAAAUGAGGGCUUCCAAAUUAGUCUCAUCUGUACUGAUAUGCAGAAGCUUGUAAAAAGAUUUCAGUAUUUUUAUAUGAAGACUUUAUGAAAGGCAAAUAAAAAGCUUAAGUGACUAAUUGAUUAAAAAAAUUAAAUCUGCUAACCUUUUGGCUUAGUUACUAUUCUAAUCCAAAGGAAGUAACUGCAGCACCAAUUGGCUGACUUUGGGUAAGUAGUGGAGUACAUUUUACCUGUAUUGGGUUAGAGAAUUGGGUUAGAGGCCCUCCCCUCAGUAAAGUCCCUCUUGGUUAAAAAUGGAUUUGGCACAAUGGGCUGUUAACUGCUAUUCUCUUUGGAUUAAUCUGUCUUGUACUUUUUGCUGAUGACAAUGGGUGACAGGAUUAGGCAUGUACAGGAUCACGGGACCUGGGGAACCUUCCCCAAAGGGGGAAACUUGAGGGCUGAUGGGAUUGCUGGAAAAUAUCCCUUUGCAACUGACACGUGGCCAUCUGAACUUUUGAUUCAGCGUUGCUACAAUGGGUGGGUCUUACUCUGGCCUCCCUGAGUGGCUUGCCUUCUUUACCCUGCUGCAAGCAAUGUUUUUCUCCCUUUCCUUUCCUUUCCUCUCUCUCCGUGCAAACUGGUUGUAGGAAUGGUAAAAAAUUACUAUCUCUUGUAAAGUUUUAAUUAAUGAGAAAAGGAUUUGUGAGGCUGGUCUUAAGCUGUAGCGAAUCUGGUGUACUUUGUGCUAUGAAUUUGUCUUUCUGCAUCAUUCAGUCAUAAAAAGGGGUACCAUAAGAUGGAAUGCAGGCCUAGGCCCCCAUAAGCUUGCUGCUCAAGCCAACCCAGCAAACUGGUCGUUAUAAACUUUGCUGCAGGUCCCUGAAACAAACAUCAUCAACAACAACAACAACAACAACAAACUGGAUAAGCGUUUCCCUCUUGUCUUGUUUCAUGCCCUUGAGAGCUUGACCUUGUAACCACAGGGUAGUACUUUCUCUUGGCCUCUGCCAUCCAGGAAACAGGAAUUUGGGGGUUCAUGUGACAGUUAGUUCCAAAAAUUAUUGUGAACAUUUAAAAGCCAUUGCAUCUCAAAAAAUGACUGCUCUAGGCUCCUUCUGGGAAGAAACAACAGAAACUGCCCAAUGCUGUAGCUUCGUGGCGAAGGCUUUGUCUCUUCUCAGUGGCAGCCAGGAUUCAAUUCCUGGCUUAGGGGAUGAGUCCUUUCUGGUUUGAUAUCUAAGUGGCUAUUGCUAUUUAUUGAUUCUCUCCCUCUCCUUUUGACUUCCCAUCUUGAAUUCUUCUUUCUCUGAGCACCUGGGAGGUUACCUUUGGUAAAGUUCAAAAGCCAGAAAUAUUUGCUAUUUGUUCUGGCUAGAAUCCGGUUAAAAAAAUAUUUGGUUAAAAGUCAGUGUAGGCCAGGUGCGGUGGCCUACGCCUGUAAUCCCAGCAUUUUGGGAGACUGAGGAGGACAGAUCACUUGAGGUCUGGAGUUCGAGAGCAGCCUGGCCAAAAUGGCAAAACCCCAUCUCUACUAAAAAUACAAAAAAAUUAUCCAGGCAUGGUGCUGUGUGCCUGUAAUCCCAGCAACUCAGUAGGCUGAGGCAAGAGAAUCGCUUGAACUUGGGAAGCAGAGGUUGAGGUGAGCCAAGAUCACACCACUGCAGUCCAGCCUGGGUGACAGAGUGAGACUCUGUCCCCCAAAAAACAAAACAAAACACUUGGUUAAAAGUGGAUAUUCAAGCUACAGGUAUAUUUAAAAGGCCUUUAUGGUUUUUUUUCCUCUAUUUGGAUCUUUUUUUUUUCUUUUCAGGCAACUGAACUGUUUUUCUCCAUUUUUUUCUUCUUGCCACUCUUGAUGCAUACAUGAGAGGACCUAAGAUAACUUCUAACAGCCUGGGACUCCUUGGGAAAAACAGAGGAGGUGCCACAGACCCCAUUUUGGGAAAAACCUCUGUUUUCCUAAUGAAACCCCAGGAAUUAGAAGCAGAUAGAUCUCUCUCAAAAUCUAAGGCUAAAUAUACUUUUAGGGAUGGCAAAUGGCAGUUGGGGAGAUACUCAGCUCUUUGCACAUUGGAUCAGAGAAGCAUGCUCUUGGCCAUCUGGAAAGUAUGGAAAUGUCCCCAUCCCCCACCAAGAGAUAAGACUCCCAUUGGGGUGGGCUAAUCACAGAAUGGGCUGAUUAGCUUUGGGUGGCUUUGCAUUGAAAUGCACGGUCAAAUCAUUGCACUGUCUUGUUCCAUAGCAUUUCUCUUUUGAGGAUCCAGGAUCCAACAUAAAAUUGGGAUCCUGUUUUUUUGGAUAUCUGUUUUGCCUUCCAGCUGUGCUUACUUAUUAGGACCUAGAAAUUGCAUGUUUUCUUAGUCCUGUUCCUCCAAGGACUCCACCCUGAAUCCAGUAAUCCAGUUAAGAAAUUUAAAAACUGGCAAAUGAAACAUCUUACAACUACUGGAUCUUCUGUGUUUCUAUGUAUUUAUGUGUUCUGUGUGUGACGUUUGUAUAUAAAAGAGGUCUGAUUAAUUGGCUUAAAAAGAAGAGCUCUUAAAUAGAAAAAUUUUGGAAGAAAAAUUAAAACUGUAAUGCCUUUUAGUUCAUGUGACUUUAGUAAGCUUUGGGAAAUAAGUAAAGACAUUUGGUCUAAAUUAGGCAGGUCACAUAUUAGAUUUGCUAAAUAACCCCCUAGGUUGGGGUGCAGUGGCAUGAUCUCGGCUCACUGCGACCUCUACCUCCCGGGUUCAAG